GAUGAACGCUGGCGGCGUGCCUAAUACAUGCAAGUCGAGCGAACAGACGAGGAGCUUGCUCCUUUGACGUUAGCGGCGGACGGGUGAGUAACACGUAGGUAACCUACCUAUAAGACUGGGAUAACUUCGGGAAACCGGAGCUAAUACCGGAUAAUAUUUCGAACCGCAUGGUUCGAUAGUGAAAGAUGGCUUUGCUAUCACUUAUAGAUGGACCUGCGCCGUAUUAGCUAGUUGGUAAGGUAACGGCUUACCAAGGCAACGAUACGUAGCCGACCUGAGAGGGUGAUCGGCCACACUGGUACUGAGACACGGUCCAGACUCCUACGGGAGGCAGCAGUAGGGAAUCUUCCGCAAUGGGCGAAAGCCUGACGGAGCAACGCCGCGUGAGUGAUGAAGGUCUUCGGAUCGUAAAACUCUGUUAUUAGGGAAGAACAAACGUGUAAGUAACUGUGCACGUCUUGACGGUACCUAAUCAGAAAGCCACGGCUAACUACGUG
rnacentral:rRNA from 1 species